UAGUCGCGACAGCGCUGCGUCCCUUGCGCUCGGCGGCCGCGGGGGCUGGGGGUUGCUGCCUCCUCACGAAGAGUCCCGCUGAAAGGCCCGGAGGAGAAGGGUUCCCCCCGUGGCGUGGGAAGCCCGAAGCUCGUGGAAAGCGCCCCGGGGGAAAGGGGUGACCCGAGGCGGGGCGAAGGGCUCCCCGCGGGCGGCGCCGCUGCGCUGCUGCAGGGAAGGGAGACAUCCAGUUUUUUCUGUUCAAAGGUGGCUUCUCAUGUUCCCACAAGAUGCAGAAAUGUCUUUACCAUUGAAGACAGUAUGACUUGGGAUAGGGACCCAGCACAUGAAAGAACUGGAGCGUGGAGUCAAAAUGCCAGGAAGCUGCUGAACAGCUCAAGGGUACACAUAAAAACUAAGUCCAAAUGAAACAUUUGUCUUUGAUCUGACAAACUGAAAUGCAAUGUGUCUUUCCACAAAUGUCAAAAGCUUCCAUGCUGGUUGAAAGCAGUUAAAUACAGGAAUAUCAGCAUCAAGUACUUUUUGUAUACUCUGACCCUCAAAACAUUUCAGUAUUUAGUCACUUUUGUUUCCGAAAGGGAUAAAAAUAAUCAUACUGGGUUUUCUGGCAGAUCUCCAGUUACAAUUUGACCACUUAGUUUAUAAGUAACAAACUAACAAAAGCAAUCCUCAUGGAUUCUCAAAAUACUCCAUUUGAACAUAACUCCAUGAACAUUGUGGACAAUAAAUCUGAGGAAGAUACAUUGUACCCUUCUUAUACAACAAAUCAAUUGAAUUUCUGAUUUAAACCUGAAAAAUAAUCUCAUAUUAAAUGAGUCAUAAAGACCCAAUCAGUGUCUGUAUAAUAUGUUCCAUUCAUAUUAUUAAGUGGCAUGUGACUGCUGGAUUUCUUGACAUUUGCCUCUAAGUUAGGCAAUGACAGACUCCUCUCCUAUAAUUACCACUGAAAAUACUACUACUACAAUUUAAUUGUACCUGGCUUGCUUAAUUUUUAUUUAUUUACUUGCCAUCUUCUGGUAUUCAUUGCACAAUAUUGCUAAAACACUUUAAAUGUCACAUUUCUUGUACAGCUAAUAAAUAUUUUAGAUCAUAAUUACUGAGUUUCAUAAUCAGUGCAUAAUUUGGAUUCCUCUCUAACUGUAACAGUCACACACACACCGUGCGCACGCGGUUUCCAUACAUAGAAGAAACUUUGUUCUUGCUGCUGUAGUUACUGUAGCAGCAUUCAGGCUUAAAGUGGUUUUUAGGUAUUGCUAACGUGCAGCUGAAACAAAAAUAAGCGUGUGCAUUAUGAUCAGCAACAUCAUCCUCUACCAUGAGCGGUUCUAAAAAAAAACUCCAUACUGUCCAGACUUGAAAUAUUUCUGUUUGAUUUUUUAAAUUUUCAUAUACUUACAGAUCUAUUCUGUUGAUUGAGGUAUUUCAUUUGAUUUUUGUGAAUGUAAAAAAAAAAAAGGAGUUUCAGAAUAUAAUGAAU